GCCCUGCGGUGCGGUGGGCAUUGCCAGAGCAGGGCGCCCCCUGCAGGGACGCACCCGGGGCGGGGGCCAGGCUGGGGCGAGCCCCCCUUGGUUCUGGAGAGGAAAUGACAUACAGUUUGUGAAAGCAUAAAUAUUCGUGAAAAUAAGAAAAUUCAGGAAGGAAACAAAGCUUAAGGCAGUGAUUGAUAGGUUAUUUCUUGGACACAGCUGAACGUAUACUGUGCGCCUGCAACUUUCCGGUGGUUUCGGACCGGACUUCAGUGAAGCCAGUGAAGUCGGUCGACUUGCAGAACUUCCUUUCAGAGGGGCGUACACAGCACCGCGGCCGUGUGCCUGUGAUCUCCUUCUGAGUUUGAAAAAGAAGAUCCUAGACACCGAGCCAAAUAUGUUUGCAUAAACCGGGAGACUUGUGGCUCUAUUUUGUAACAGCUUGGCGCAGGGCAGCUGGUUUGGAGAUGUCUCUGUUCUUCCCUUGGUGGGGGUGCCGGAAAAAAUGUGCUGCCUGGGCGAUCGAGGUUGGGGCAAAAGCGUUGCAAAGGAAAAGGUGGGAGGACUCUACUUUCACAUUUCCCAAAAGAGUUUUACCAUAAGACUAUUUCUGGAUUGUUCUAACGUGAGGAUAUUGGGAGCAUUUUGAAAAUACUGGAGGAAAAGCUGUCACUGGGCGAUUUAAAUCCGAUUCCCCUUGUCGGCAAAGCCAGGCGCUGAUAGCGUUAUGGCUGCCAUGAGAGUCAGCAGUAUCCCAGCUUCCAAGGAUGGGUGUAAGGUGGGGGUGAGGAAGAAAAGGAACUUGAAGCUGCCUCCUGUCCCAGAAUCACAAGACAUCUGUUAAGCCCUUACUACCUCAUUCACUCCACUCACAUUAGGUUGACCCACUUGGGCAGCAAGACAAGCAGGCCUGCAAACUUCCUUUUCUUCAUCAGCCACAGAGACAUCCUCAGCUAUUAUUCUGGAUUAAGGCAGAGAUCUCCAAACAGCAGACUAAGAUCAGCCUCUAGAUCUCAAAGCCUUACUGUUAUCUCUCCAAGUCAGUGGCUGAUCUCAGAGAAGCUUCUGAAUAGUGACUAGCAAAGAGUCACUCAGGCUACUUACAAAUCCAGGACAGCAGCGUUUUUUUUUUUUUCUUUUUUAGAGACAGAUUCACUCUGUCAUCCAAGCUGGAGUGCAGUGGCACGAUCUUGGCUCACUGCAACCUCCACCUCCUGGGCUCAAGCAAUCCUCCUACCUCAGCCUCCCAAGUAGCUGGAACUACAGGUACCCAACACCAUGCCAGGCUAAUUUCUAAUUUUUUGUAGAGACAGCAGUCUCCCUCUGUUGCCCAGGCUGGCCUCAAACUCCUAGGCUCAAGUGUUCCUCCUGCCUGGGCCUCCCAAAGUGCUGGGAUCACAGAUGUGAGCCACUGCAUGCAG
rnacentral:lncRNA from 1 species